rnacentral:rRNA from 1 species
CCUACGGGAGGCAGCAGUGGGGAAUAUUGCACAAUGGGGGAAACCCUGAUGCAGCGACGCCGCGUGAGUGAAGAAGUAUUUCGGUAUGUAAAGCUCUAUCAGCAGGGAAGAAAAUGACGGUACCUGAUUAAGAAGCCCCGGCUAACUACGUGCCAGCAGCCGCGGUAAUACGUAGGGGGCAAGCGUUAUCCGGAUUUACUGGGUGUAAAGGGAGCGUAGACGGCAGCACAAGUCUGGAGUGAAGUGCCGGGGCUUAACCCCGGAACUGCUUUGGAAACUGUGCAGCUAGAGUGCAGGAGAGGUAAGUGGAAGUCGUGGUGUAGCGGUGAAAUGCGUAGAUAUUAGGAGGAACACCAGUGGCGAAGGCGGCUUACUGGACUGUAACUGACGUUGAGGCUCGAAAGCGUGGGGAGCGAACAGGAUUAGAUACCCCAGUAGUC